GAAGGAAGAGCCAAACGUGGGCAGGAGAGGGUCCUGCGAAGGUGAGGGGUGUAGCGUGUAAGUGUUUUGAGCACCGUGUGUCUGGCUCUACUAAGUACAUCAGAAAGGACAAUCCGUAGCACCUGUCAGUGGGGAGCUACUCCUGUCAUGCAUGUAGUGAAUACUUUUUUUUUUUUUAUAGUAUAUUGAAAUAUAAGAGAUUUUAUUAAUUGAAUGGGAGGUUGACACGCAUCAGGAGUACCAAACUUGGGCAGAUAUGUACAGCAGAUGCAUGUGCCAGCUGAUAGAAGACAAAUCAACAAACCACUUUUAUUUUUUUAUUUUUAAAUUUUCUUAAAUGUUUGUUUAUAUUUGAGAGAGAGACACACAGAGUGCAAGCAGGGGAGGGGCGGAGAGAGAGGGAGACACAGAAUACGAAGCACGCUCCAGGCUCCGAGCUGUCAGCACAGAGCCCGAUGCAGGGCUCGAACUCAGGAACUGUGAGAUCAUGACCUGAGCCAAAGUCAGAUGCUCAACCGACUGAGCCACCCAGGUGCCUCCAAAUCACUUUUAUUUUAACUCAUCUUUGGUGUAACAACAUAGCUGUAUAUGAACGCAUAUGGUAUUAGAAUUUUUAAAAAUUUAAAAAAUUAAAGUUGAAAAUAAAAAAUAUCUUAAUCGUUAAUUUAUUAAGUUUUUUUCUUAUUCUUUUUUCCUUUGGAACCUGACUCCUUUUGACCCCAGAGAGGAGUCUCACAUCUUCUGUCUCUUGCUGAACACAAGACAGGCCUUGGCCUUGGCCGUCCACUAGGAGCUGUGUUUAGUUUUAGCCACUUAUGAUGGAAAACAGCUGUUCACACACAAAGAAUCUUCCACGCUUGGAGGAAAUCUCUGCUUGAUGGGUUUUGCUUUCAGGGUAAUGUUGCGGUUGUGGUCCUUGAGGAUUCUGGAUGCCAGGCCUGCCACUGCCGUGUUCGGUGUUCUGUGGCAUCUGUUGCUUCUCAUCCACUUCUUAUUGCUAAUGUUUGUUAGAAAAAUGAUGCUGAUCUCUUCAGUUAGUCUUGAAGAGAGCUUUUAUCGGAUUCCAGUCUUCAUCUCUGCACUUUGGGGAAUGUCUCUGGAGAGAACAUUCAGUUCUGGACGUUGAUUUCUCUGUAGGGGAGUGGACAAGAUUUUUUGUCUUCCCAAAUGUGAUUCCCAAUGACAUUGUGUCCUGGGAAAUAAAUGGAUUGACUCCUGGGUUGCCAGGAAGGAAUUUGAGUGAUGGGAGUGAGUUCCUUCCCACAGCUCAGAAACUAUCUUCUGAGGCUUAUCACCUGACCUCUGCGCGUAUGUGUGUGUUAUCACGUUGUGCUUCCAGGUGCCUUGGGUAGAUGGUUUGGCGUUUGCAAACCAAGUCACAGAGUAGUUUCAGUUCAUCACUGUUUCAUAAUUGGUGCUAAACUUUUAGCAUAAAGUCAUUCCUCAAGAUUGUAUCCUUGGACUGCGUUCUUAUAAAAACCCUGGGUUUAGGGGCGUCUGGGUGGCUCAGUCAAUUAAGCAUCUGACUCUUGGUUUUGGCUGAGGUCAUGGUCUCACAGUUCUUGAAUCAAGCUCCACAUCAGGCUUCGGAUUCUCUCUCUCUGCACCUCCCCUGCUCAUGUGUGCGUGCGCGCUCGCGCUCUCUCUCUCUCUCUCUCUCUGUCUCAAACUUAAAAAAACACACACAUACAAAACAAAAAACACGGAGUUUAUGUUUCUGGAGCUGGGACAACAGCAUUUCAGGAGCAUUGUCAUCUGUGGUCACAUGCAUGUCAUUUCUGAUGCUGUGUCUUAUGAGGACCGGGCCCCAAAGUUCCCCAGGCCCGUUAGAAAUUCUCAUGGACACAGUAAAUUAAUGUAGUUAACUGGUCAUGUAUUUUUAAUAUGUAUUGUAUAAUUUUAUUUUGUUUCUUUUAUUUUUUAAUUUUUUAAAGUUUAUUUAUUUUGAGAGUGAGAGAAGAACAAGACUGCGAGCUAGGGAGCGGCAGAGAGAGGGAGGGAGAGAAUCCCAAGCAGGCUCCGUGCUGUCAGCACAGAGUCCAAGUGGGGCUCGAUCUCAUGAACCAUGAGAACAUGACCUGAGCUGAAAUUAAGAGUUAGCCCCUUAACCAACUGAGCCACCCAGACGCCCCUGUAUUGUGUAAUUUUAGUUGGAAAUGCUGCAAGGUCCUUUUUUUAAUGCCUCAGGACCUUUUAAAUUCUGUUUCUUCAAUACAGUAAGCGUUAUGUUUUGGUUAGAAAUAAAAUCGCAGAUAUUUGCUUUUGUUUAAGGUACAUAAUUUCUGUUGUGUACAAUAGAUUAUUUUGUCAUUAGUUGCUA